CACGCGGUAUGAUGCGUGUGAGGUUGAUGACCGGUUCGUAAUAACGUUUCAGGACCCGGGGGCGGUACCCGGCGCCUCCACCAGAAGCAUCCUGUCCCUGAUAACGCAGGGGUCUUGGCAGACUAUAAUGUGUUUAUUGUCUGCAGCCAGGGUGUUUCUGAUGGGGGCGAAGUUAGGUUCGACUGGACGGUAAAGGGAUCGCGAGUUCUACCCUGUUUCGGCAGGAUAAGAUGCGACUUUCGGUAAGGACUCGACCGGUUCGGCGCAGGCAACCCCUGUUCCGGGCACCUGACCAAAACUCUAAAUGCCAACGAUAACGUUGUCAUGGAUGCCCGCCUCGCGGCGUAAGCAUCUUGCGGCAGGGCAGCCGUAGAAACAGAA
rnacentral:tmRNA from 1 species